CUGGGAAGAGGUGAAAAAGGCACGUUAGAAACUGAAAGAGCCCUGCAAAGCUAAUCUGCUCAACCUUCACCUACUGGGUUCAAUGAAUAUGAAAAGCUGCCUUCCUGAAACUUUUCCUUCAAAGAGGGAAUGAUCUCCUGGAAUUCAAGCUUCUACAAGGUGGCUACCUGGUGUUUUCCACUUUUGCCGUCUCCUAAAAAGCAUCAUUCAAGCCUUGCCCUUUCAACCCACUGAACACAUAAACAUGCUUUCUCCUUAACUGAACUUAUGGCCACGAUGAACUUGAACUCUGAGAUUCACAGAGGAGAGUUUGUUUUAACAGCUGCUUUUACAAUGAAGCCCUGGAGUUACUACUCUCAAGACCCCUGGUUCUGAUAGGCCAUCUUUUCACUGUCCUCUGCAUUUUCUAAUGCCCAGCUGUCAAGGAACACCCACUGAAGUUUUCCAAAACAAAGGCACGAAACACAAGAAAGGCAAGAGAAUGCUAAUCACCAGAUGCAUGGGCAUCCUAUGGGGGAACCCCUUACA
rnacentral:lncRNA from 1 species